rnacentral:rRNA from 1 species
CACGUAGGGGGCAAGCGUUGUCCGGAUUUAUUGGGCGUAAAGAGCUCGUAGGCGGUUUCGUUAGUCGGGUGUGAAAACUCUAGGCUCAACCUGGAGACGCCACCCGAUACUGCGAUGACUAGAGUCCGGUAGGGGAGUGUGGAAUUCCUGGUGUAGCGGUGAAAUGCGCAGAUAUCAGGAGGAACACCAACGGCGAAGGCAGCACUCUGGGCCGGAACUGACGCUGAGGAGCGAAAGCGUGGGGAGCGAACAGG